rnacentral:lncRNA from 1 species
UGAAAGUCAUGGGUACCUGGCAAAAAAUCUGAACUGAAUUGGGAUGUCUACUCGGACCCAAAAUGGUGCCUUUCUCCGUCCUCUAACCGGCGAGAAUAUAUGUCCACAUAACUUAGCAAUGGAUUAUGCCGAUGUGGAUGCUCGCCGGAAGAAAUUUUUUGUACCUCCCAACGGAAAUGAACCCAGUCGAGGUGGCUCCGACGGGAAAUUGUUGCUAGCGGUUUCGCAAGAGGUGGAUGUGCCAAGAAAUUGAUUUUCUAUGGGAAUUAAAGAAAGAAAAUUGGAGUAAAUGAAUAAUGGGCCAGGUUGUAAAAAUGAAGACCCGCCUCUCUGCCAGUUCAGCAAUUUGAAAUGGUGUGAGAAAAGCUGUGAGCCGCCGCUGUACGAGAGGCAUUUUCCCUACAACAAUUGGGUUGCUAGGACAAGCAACGAUAUUAUUGUGACUGACCGUUACAACAGUAUGUCAGAGAGUUGCAUUUAGAAAUAUAAUAAAAUUAUUUCAUUUAUUCAAAAAUGUUUUUAAAAACUAAAAAUAAUCAACUAUAGUCUGUACAAAAAUACAUAUAAUGAAGAAAAUAGAAAAAGUGAAAUCUCUAGUUUUUUUAAAAAAUCUGAAAAAAAAUUUAAAAAUUGGGAGAUUGAAAGAUUAUAAGCG